GACGAACGCUGGCGGCGUGCUUAACACAUGCAAGUCGAACGGUGAAGGGAUCAGCUUGCUGGUUCUGGAUGAGUGGCGAACGGGUGAGUAACACGUGAGUAACCUGCCCCCUUCUUCUGGAUAACCGCAUGAAAGUGUGGCUAAUACGGGAUAUUCUGCGCAUGCAGCAUGGUGGGUGUGGGAAAGAUAUUGUUUCGGUGGGGGAUGGGCUCGCGGCCUUUGAGCUUGUGGGUGGGGUGAUGGCCUACCAAGGCGGUGACGGGUAGUCGGACUGAGAGGGGGGACGGUCACACUGGGACUGAGCCAAGGCCCAGACGCCUACGGGAGGCAGCGGUGGGGAAUAUUGCACAGUGGGCGCAAGCCUGAUGCAGCGACGCCGCGUGAAGGAUGGAGGCCUUCGGGUUGUCAACCUCUUGCGCCAGUGAAGCAGGCCUGUCCCUUGUGGGUGGGUUGACGGUAGCUGGAUAAGAAGCGCCGGCUAACUACGUG
rnacentral:rRNA from 1 species